UACGUAGGGGGGCUAGCGUUGUCCGGAAUCAUUGGGCGUAAAGAGCGUGUAGGCGGCUCGGUAAGUCCGCUGUGAAAGUCCAGGGCUCAACCCUGGAAUGCCAGUGGAAACUGUCGAGCUAGAGUCCGGAAGAGGCGAGUGGAAUUCCUGGUGUAGCGGUGAAAUGCGCAGAUAUCAGGAGGAACACCAAUGGCGAAGGCAGCUCGCUGGGACGGUAACUGGACGCUGAGACGCGAAAGCGUGGGGAGCAAACAGG
rnacentral:rRNA from 1 species